GAUGAACGCUGGCGGCGUGCUUAACACAUGCAAGUCGAACGGAAAGGCGCUGCUUUUGCGGGGUGCUCGAGUGGCGAACGGGUGUGUAACACGUGAGUAUCCUGCCCUUGACUUUGGGAUAACUUCAGGAAACUGGGGCUAAUACCGGAUAGGAGAUCCUGCAGCAUGGGGGUGGUUGGAAAGUUUCGGCUGUUGGGGAUGGACUCGCGGUUUAUGAGCUGGUUGGUGGAGUAGUGGCUUACGAAGGCUUCGACGGCUAGCCCGCAUUGGAGCGUGAACAGGCACCUUAGGACUAAGGUAGGGCGCAGUCUGCAACGGGAGGCAGCGGUGGAAAGUAUUACGCAGCGAGGCGAAGCGUGUUGUGAAGGCCCUGCGAGCGGAAAGACGGCCUUCGGGUUAUGAACCGCUUUAACCUGUGACGAAGCGUGAUUGACGGUAAUGAGUAAAGAAGCACCGGCUAACUACGUG
rnacentral:rRNA from 1 species